ensembl:lncRNA
AAUGAAGGUAACAGAAUGUAUUGAUUUUUAACACCACCAAUAUAAUAUUACAGACAGUACAUAAUCUCAGAGAAAAAAAAAUAUCCUGCUAUAUUCAUAGAGAAACACAAUUAUGUUGCUUUUGAUUCAGAUGCUGCAGUUAUUAAAGAAAAGAUCAAAUCAGCCCCUGCAAAGAAAGAUGCUGCAGUUAUUAAAGAAAAGGUGAAAUCAGCCCCUGUAAAGAAAGAAGCUGAAAUUCACAAAGAAAACGCCAAUGCAGCUUCAUCAAAGAAAGAGUCCAAGGAAACUAAGGAACAAGCCAAACCAGAGCCUUCAAAUGAAGACAGUGAAGUUCCCAAAGAACAAACCAUAGCAGCUACAUCAAAGAAAGAUGCUGAAGCAAAAGAAAAGGCCAAAUUAGCUCCAGAAAAGAAAGAUGCUGCAGUUAUUAAAGAAAAGAUCAAAUCAGCUCCUGCAAAGAAAGAUGCUGAUGUUGUUAAAGAAAAGACGAGACCAGUUCCUGCAAAGAAAGUGAAAACUGUAAAAGACAAGACAAAACCAGCACUGGCUAAGAAAGGUAUUGAAGAAAUGUUUUUUAAAUUGGUUUUACAUCUAAAAUACAGUAUGUAUUUACUAUGAAUUAGUACAUUUGUGCUAUUAUGCUUUAAUUUGACCUGCCAGUCUUUCAACUUAAAUGUUUUUAUUUUAUUCAGAGGCUGAAGUUGGCAAAGAAAAGUCCAAACCAACACCUGCAAAGAAAGGUACUGGUGUAUUACAGUACUUCACUACAGUAGUUUUUAGACUGAGUAGAACAGGGUGGUCAAAGAUAUGGCCUGCUUCCUGUGAAAUCAUCCUGUGCAACCAAUGUUGUUUUAAAUGUAAGUAUUAUAUUCUUCCUAAUAUUUAAAAAUCAUCUAAACAUGUUAUUUCUGUAGAAAGAGCUGGAUUCAGCUACUAAGGCUAAAUAAAUUAAACAACCCCAAGUGUACUAGAGACAUCAAACUGGCACAUAUUGUCUAACAUUAUUCUUGUCCUCCAUUCUCAAGUAUCAGAACCUGAAUGUUCAAAAGAGAAAACAAAAGCAGCUCAUGUCAAGAGAGAUAUACAGUGCCUUGCAAAAUUAUUAAUUCCCAUUGGUGUUUUUCCUAAUUUGUUUCAUUACAACCUGUAAUUUAAAUGGAUGUUCAUUUGGAUUUCAAGUAAUAUAUACAAAAUAGUCCAAAUUUGGUGAAGUUAAAAAAUAAAAAAAACGGGAAAGUGGUGCAUGCAUAUGUAUACACCCCCUUUGCUAUGAAGCCCCUAAAUAAGAUCUAGUCCAACCAAUUACCUUUAGAGGUCACAUAAUUCAUUAAAUAACGUCCACCUGUGUGCAAUCUAAGUGUCACAUGAUCUGUCACAUGAUCACAGUAUACCUACACCUGUUCUGAAAGGCCCCAGAGUCUGCAACACCACUAAGCAAGGGGCACCAUGAAGACCAAGGAGCUCUCCGAACAGGUCAGGGACAAAGUUGUGGAGAAGUACAGAUCAGGGUUGGGUUAUGAAAAAAUAUACGAAACUUUAAACAUCCCAUGGAGUACCAUUACAUCCAUUAUCAAAAACUGGAAAGAAUAUGGCACCACAACAAUCCUGCAAAGAGAGGCAUUAAUCUGGGGCAACAAAGAGACCAUAGAUAACCCUGAAGGAGCUGCAAAGCUCCACAGCAGAGAUUGGAGUAUCUGUCCAUAGGACCACUUUAAGCGUACACUCCAAAGAGAGCUUUUACGGAAGGGUGGCCAGAAAACAGCCAUCGCUUAAAGAAAAAAAAUAUUAAAAGAUUUUGGCGUUCACCAAAAGGCAUGUGGGAGACAAACAUAUGAAAGAAGGUACUCUGGCCGUCAAGGAAAACUUGACGGCCAAACCCAACACCUCUCAUCACCCCUAGAGCAACAUCCCCACAGUGAAGCAUGGUGGU